UAACACACACUCUCAGCUUCACCCAGCUUCCAAAUUUCCCUCCUUUCUCCUCUCACUCUGUCUGAACCAAUUUACCAAUCUUCCAUGGCGUUUUCCAUACCCAACUUCUCAUUUCAUGCUUCUCUGCUUCAAAAAGGUUUGGAGAAAGCAAUGGUGCCUGCUGCAAGGAUUCAAUCCUGCUGCAGAAGGCAUGAACAAUUUAUUGUCAUUUAAAGGUCUUGAAGCUCUGGAUUAAUAUUCCAAGAGUUUGGAAUUUGGAAUGAAGCCAUCGGUCCGGAUAUUUUAAUGAAAAUGUAUUAUAUUAAGUUUAUGCUUCUACAUUAUUAUUUGAUGUAGUCUGGUUCAAUCAUUUUUGGCACAUCAAUUUGGCACCAAUGGUGACCUCUUGAACUUGUCAAAUUUACAUGCAUUUUUUUUUCUCUUUUGUUCUCAGUACUUUCAGCAUUAUAAGGUAUCUUCCAUUUACUAUAAAUACAUUACCAUUUUAAGAAAUAAUUUAUAUUUACAUAUCCAA